AGGGUCAUAUGGAAGGGGAGGUUUGGGGUCUUGCGGCUCAUCCUAUUCUUCCCAUCUGUGCUACUGUAAGUGAUGACAAAACAUUAAGAAUUUGGGAACUCUCUUUUAAUCAUCGAAUGCUAGCAGUACGUAAACUUAAAAAAGGUGGCAGAUGUUGUGCUUUCUCACCAGAUGGAAAAUUCUUAGCCGUUGGGUUAAAUGAUGGGAGUUUUCAUGUAGUCAAUGCUGAUACCCUGGAAGAUAUAGUAUCUUUUCACCACAGGAAGGAAAAUAUAUCAGAUAUAAAAUUUUCACCAGAUGCAGGGAAAUACUUGGCAGUAGCUUCGCAUGAUAAUUUUGUGGACAUCUACAAUGUGCUUUCAAGUAAAAGAGUUGGAAUAUGUAAAGGGGCUUCUAGUUACAUUACUCAUGUAGACUGGGAUGUAAGAGGGAAGCUAUUACAAGUUAAUUCAGGUGCUAAAGAGCAUUUGUUUUUUGAAGCACCAAGAGGGAAACGACAAACUAUUAGAAGUACAGAGAUAGAGAAGAUAGAUUGGGCUACUUGGACAUGCGUUUUAGGACCAACAUGUGAAGGAAUCUGGCCUACACACAGUGAUACCACAGAUGUCAAUGCAGCCUGUCUAACCAAAGACAAAAAACUCAUAGUCACAGGAGAUGACUUUGGCUUUAUGAAACUCUUUUCUUACCCAGUAAAGGGCCGAUAUGCAAAGUUUAAGAAGUAUGUGGGUCACAGUGCACAUGUGACCAAUGUACAAUGGGCACAAGAUGACAGCUUGUUGCUAACAGUGGGUGGAGCUGAUACCGCUUUGAUGAUCUGGAGUUGGGAAACUGAUGGAAACAGGGACAACAAGCCUGUGGACAGUGAAGAGUCUGACGACACUGAUGAAGAUGGAGGGUAUGACAGUGAUGUUGCAAAAGAGAAGUCCAUUGAUUACACAACCAAGAUCUAUGCAGUUAGUAUCAGGGAGAUGUCUGGCACAAAGCCACAUCUUCAACCAAAAGAAGUCUCAACAGAAGAAAGACCACCAGUCAGCAGAGCUCCUCCUCAACCAGAGAAACUACAAAAGAACAAUCUUAAUAAGAAGAAGAAACUAGUGGAGGAGAUUGCCUUAGAACACGUGUUUGGAUACAGAGGUUUUGAUUGCCGCAACAAUCUUCAUUAUCUCAAUGAUGGGACUGAUAUUGUUUUUCACACAGCUGCUGCUGGCAUUGUUCAGAACCUGUCAUCAGGUCUCCAAAGUUUUUAUGUGGAGCAUACAGAUGACAUACUCUGCUUAACUGUCAAUCAACACCCAAAAUACAAAAACAUUGUAGCAACUGGACAAAUAGGGACAACUCCAUCCAUUCAUGUGUGGGAUGUCAUAACCAAGCAGACGCUAUCUAUUCUCCGUUGUUCCCAUAAUAAAGGUGUCAGUUAUGUUAACUUCAGUGCCACUGGCAAGUUGCUGUUAUCAGUGGGUGUUGACCCUGAACACACUAUCACUGUUUGGAGGUGGCAGGAAGGUGUCAGAGUUACCAGCAAAUGUGCCCACAGUGAGAGAAUUUUUGUGGUUGAGUUCCGUCCAGAUUCAGAUACCCAAUUUGUAUCUGUGGGUAUAAAACAUAUAAAAUUUUGGACCUUGGCUGGUGGAGCGUUACUUUCAAAAAAAGGCACCAUUGGAACUGUCAAUGAUGCAAGGAUGCAAACCAUGCUAUCUGUUGCCUUUGGUGCUAACAAUCUUACUUUCACUGGUGCCAUAAGCGGAGAUGUAUAUGUCUGGAAGGAUCACAUUUUAAUCCGAGUUGUAGCAAAAGCCCAUACGGGACCUGUUUUUACAAUGUACACAACAUUAAGAGAUGGCUUGAUAGUUACUGGAGGCAAAGAAAGACCGACAAAAGAGGGAGGUGCAGUAAAACUAUGGGAUCAGGAAAUGAAGCGGUGUCGACCAUUUCAGUUGGAGACAGGACAACUUGUCGACUGUGUGCGUUCUGUCUGUCGAGGAAAGGGAAAAAUACUUGUUGGAACUAAAGAUGGUGAGAUAAUUGAAGUUGGAGAAAAAAAUGCAGCAUCAAAUUGCCUAAUUGAUGCGCACAUGGAAGGAGAAAUUUGGGGUCUGGCCACACAUCCCUCUAAAGACCACUUGAUUUCAGCAAGUGAUGAUGGCACUAUAAGAAUCUGGGAUCUGGCUGAUAAAAAAUUGCUAAACAAAGUGAACCUUGGUUAUGGUGCAAAAUGUGCUGCUUACAGUCCUGAUGGAGAAAUGGUUGCAAUUGGAAUGAAGAAUGGAGAAUUCAUUAUACUGCUGGUUAAUUCUCUGAAAGUGUGGGGCAAAAAACGUGACCGGAGUGCUGCCAUCAAUGAUACCAGGAAAAACACCCAUGUGGCCAAUGAACCAGUAACAAGCAAAGCUCAGAACCAGCAAUGACUAACUGCAAAAAGUGAAGGGGAGGUUAGGGAUCAAAUCAAAAUAGAGUUGGAGGGGUAAAUAAAGCACUGCACACACCACGACGCCCACCUCUCCCUGAAGACAUCGAGAGUGUUGGUGGACACCGCGUGCUCCCUCUACAAGGACACCAGGGCUCAAACGUAACCACGGAAGAGGGGCAGGCAGUCGGCCACAACAACCCCCUCCACAGCCCUCUGCCUGGAUCUGUUAAUGGCCAGCUUGUCCAGGUCUAGGAGCAGACACACGAGAAGAUCCUCCGACCUGCCCGCUUCCCUCCACAAUGGAUGCCCGAAGAUCAGGAGCGUGGGGCUGAAGUGCAACCAAAAACACAAAAGAAGGUUCUUAAGGUAACUGAAAAGGGAGUGCAAAUGCCCACACCCAAUGUACACAUUGUCCACGGACUCCUCAGUGGUGCAAAACAAACCGUUGGGCUGGGCAGUUGCUUGGGACUGCUGCGUGCAACACCUUCCACCCCAGGUUCCCAAGGGAAAGAGAGAGGACUCCCACGUAAAGAGCCCUCUGCUAGGGAUCUCCACCACCCAGUGGUAAAUGGGCUCGCCAAGUCAUGUCCGGGUGGUGGAUGAAGGAGAAGAGGUGGAUGGUGUGCAGCAGCAGUCUGUAGAGGGCCUGCUGUUUCACCCCUUCAAAAUCCAAACUACGUAUGUUCUGGAGGCAACACAGGCUCCCGGGCAAGGUACAGAAUCUUGGGGCAAAUGUGAAAUUCUGUCUGAGCAAGGGUACGGACAGAUGGGAUUCCACCGCACACCAGAGCAUCCUCCAACUGAUGCACAGUGUCGGGUCUGAGCAUCUCUGUCUUAAGGCGUUGGAUGGCAGUGACCACAAGCUGGACAUCUGCCACCACUCCGCAUGCCAAACCUGCAAACCCUCAUGGUCGAUAAACAGGAGCUGCGUAUAAUUGUUGAGGUUACAGACCUGCUGGAAAAAAUACGUCACCACGGCACAUCACCUAGGAGGAGGCUCAAUGUAAAGGUUAUCGUUGCAAGGUUUGAAGGCAGAAAGUCACCACCUGGGUGCAGACGCACACCAGCAACUGAUCACCCUCCUGUGCCAUGACCCAGUGCAUCUUUUUGUCCCAGAAGAAGUCAACCAACGUUUUCUGGAUGUCAGUGACAAAACUAGGAGAAGAGACUAAAGGGACCAUCUGGUACCACAACAUGGAGGCCACCAGCUGGUUUAUGAUCAGCACUCAACUCCUGUAAGACGGCACUCAGAGCAGUCCUGUCCCAUGGCCUAAGCAAGCCAAGACUUUGGACUCCAGCUCCUGCCAAUCCGCCAGCCAGGAUUCCUCAGCAGCGCUAAGGUAGACCCUCAGAUAGAGGAGAUGGGUGGUGCUCCAGCUGAACCCCUCCGGCAAGGAGUCCACCCACCACAGACCGACCACAAGUCUGGAACAUUUAGCCCAGUUGAUCCUGGCGGAAGACGCUGCCGAAUACAAUGCCUAGCACUUGCGCAUCCUCCCCAGGUCAGCCAUAUCAGUGAACAUGAGGAGCAAAAGACCACGCCCAUGCACGGCCCACACAGAACCAGCCCCAACAACCUCCUCUGAGACAGGCACAGGAAAGGCUUUACGCACAGGGAAUACAACUGGUUGGACAAGGGACAGCCCUGAUGCACUCCUCUCCUGAAGUGAAGGGGCACUGUCAAGGACCCAUUAAGUUUAACCAGACACUCUGUGGCAGUGUACAAAAGUCGGAUCUGGGCAACGAACUGCAUCUCAAACCCAAAUACCUGCAGAGUCCUGAGCAAAUACUCGUGAUCGACCCUGUCAAACGCCUUCUCCUGAUCAAGAGACAGGAAGGCACUUGACGGACCAGUCAGUUGACAAAAAUGGAACAGGUCCUGAACCAGAUGGACGAUGUCAUGAAUGCUUCAACCCAGGACCAUGUACAACUGGAUCAUGUGGUCCAGCACUGAUGCCAAGCAAGAAGCCAACACCUGCACGUAGUCGCCCCCAAGGAUGUCCCACAGUGUCCUGAAGAACUCCACAGUCAGCUGGCCCAGCCCUGGGGACUUGCCCCUUAAGAGCCAGGUGAGGGUGUUGGUCAGCUCCUCAAAAGUGACAGGAGCGCAAGCCUUCUGGCAUCCUCCAGGCUGAACUGCAGCAGGUCCUCCCAUAAAACUCUGUGAGCAUCCUCCCUGGAUGGAUCCGGAGGGCAUCAGGGCCCAGAUUAACAUCUAAUACGCAGCUCUGUUCUCUCCGGAUCCAAGACGAGAGGUCUGUCGUCAGCCAGCAGCACAAGGAGCUGCUGAUGGGUGCCAUGCCUUUAUUCCAGCAAAUAGAAGUAAAGGAAGCCACAGUGCAGGUCCUGGAGGAGCCGGAUCCACGACCUCACAUUUGCGCCCUGGGACCCAACGAGCUGCAGGUCUUGGAAUGUGGCCUUCUUCUCCUUGUAUUACCCCUGCAGGGCCAGGUCCACAUCAGGCUGACCAAGACGUGUCUCCAGGUUGAGCACCUCCUUCUCCAACUCCUUGAUCCUGGAUUUCUGCCUUUUUGUCAACCCCUCGCUUACUCCUGACAGAAGACACUGAUGUGAGCCUUUCCCAAGUCCCAUCAUAGUCUCAAGGAGGGGAAGCCCCUGUUUCCUUCUCCAGCCGGUCUGGAAAUUAUGAAAUGAGUCUCAGAACCAUUUGUCCUCCAGCAGCAGGCUGUUAAAAUGCCAGUACGUGAACCCAAGCCGAGUACGAAACAAAAGGACCUCCGUCCACACCAUGUGAUGGUCUGUGCUCAGCACCUGCCACAUGGAGGCCACCAGAACACAGGAUGCAUUAGCCUGUGAAAUCUACAGGCAGACGAUCCUCAAUGCUCUGCCCUCAGACCUCAUGAAGGUUAAGAUGAUGGAGUCAGGAUGGAGAUUUCGUCAGACAUCCACCAGGUUGAAGGACUUGACCAAGUCCCCCAACCAACACCCCGAUGCCAAACUAGACCAGGCACUACCAUAGUCCCUGUUUUUGAGGAUGCAGUUAAAUUUCCCUCAGGGUCAAUGUACUGGCCUUCGUUGAUGGAGGCAAGAUGAGCAGACACUUCUCCAUAGAAGCAUGUUUGCCUCAGCCUGACUGAGGGAGGGUAGACAUUCACGAAGUGAAGCACCAUGCCUCCCCAGCAAACAGCCUGGCACAGGCUCUUUGACCCUCAAGGUGUCUGGCUGAAAAUGUGAGGCCAACAUGAUAGCCACCCCGCCAGAUUUACAGGUGAGGUGAUUCAUGUAGACCCCUCCUUGCCACUCCAGGAGCUAGGUGGCUUCAUCUUCCAGGGAGGUAUGGGUUCCUUGCAGGAAGCACACUGCAUACUUCCUGUCCUGAAGGACAGAGAAGUUCUGGAAUUUGUGUUGUGACUCCCUCCUGCCAUUGAUGUUGAGGCUGGCUAUGGUAGUCUUCAUUGUCAGUAGUAGCAUGUAGCCACCACUAGUGAAACUGUUAAAAACACCUACUCGGAGGAUGGGGGAGGGACAUACAAGUCCCUUGGCCUCCCCCUGAGUGCAUCAGGGAACGCCCUGAACCGCCGCCGGUUGUUCUGAGCCAGCCCGGGCAUGUGGCGAGCAGCCCAGGUGGACCAGAAGACCAGUCUAAAAUCAUCCCAGUGGUCAAGAGCCAACUAGACUGUAUUGUGGUGACCAUGAAUACUCUUGAUAAAGUCCCACAAUUCCUCAGUGGGGAUGAGGGGCAACUCAGUGGAGGGCGCUUGGAAGUCUAAACCUUUGCUGGAUCCGGACUCCGCAUUGUCCUCAAUGGCCACCACCAAGCCUGAACCUCCUCUGGGUGGUCAUCCUCAGUCACUAGCCCCACCCCAACGGUGAGAGUGGGGAUUAGUCCAGCACCACCAGUGACACCACCCCCAGGGUCACCGGCAGGAACGUCUUCGAUGCACUCCAGAGAGACCUGUUCUGGGUCUGGGUCGUUGGGCAGUGGAGGCUCGGGGCACCGCUCCUCUCCCGACACUGGGACGCCUGGUUCCUCAGGGAAAAAGGUGCUCCCCCAUGGCCAGGGCACCCGAGAAAACAGUCUGGGAGGGAGGAGUGAGGAAAACAGCUUUCUCCUCACCACUGCCCGAUGACCCAGUUGGAUUUACAGUUAUAUUGUCAGCACCGUCGUUUGCGUGAAGUUUCGGUUCAUUCCCGGCGGCUGGUGGAGCUGUGGCAGUGGGUGAUCCGGCCACAACCCUCGGGGCACUGGAUUGGUCAGGCUGCAGUAUAGGAGGGGCAGGAGGCACCAUGGCACACUCCUGGGGAAGGAACUGUGCCUUACCUGUGUUGUGGUGAUGGCCUCCCCUCCCUCCCUGGUAGUCAAGGGGUUUUUAGGCCCUCCCCGCGGCCUCUCCACUCAAUUGGCUGGCAGAGGAUGGGAGUGUGGUUAGGGCAGUGAGAGCCAGAUGCAUCCCUUCCUGCCCUGCCCCAGCUGUCAGGUGACAGUGGGCAUGGCAGGGGCCUAGCUUCCGGCCUUGAAACCGCGGUCACUGCCAUUGCAGGCCAGAGGCGGGCAGCGGAGUCCCUGAGGUCUGGUGAGUUCGGGUGGAGGUCCGGUAAUGUGGGCGAUGUUGGGCCUGAAGUCCUUGAGGUCUGGUGUUGCAGAGCGAUGGUUGGGCUUGGAGCCCCUGAAGCUUUAGCCCCAAUUCCAUGUACCUGGCUGUUGGUUCUGCAGAAAAUACUGUUGAUUUUUAUGACCUCA